GAUGAACGCUAGCGGCGCGCUUAAUGCAUGCAAGUCGAGCGAUGAGUUUCCUUCGGGAGACAUCAGCGGCAGACGGGUGAGUAACACGUAGGUGACCUGCCCCCAAGACGGGAAUAACGGAUGGAAACAUUUGCUAAAACCCGAUAGUCUCAGGGAGUCAAAGCCUUGAGUAAAACUACGGUGCUUGGGGAGGGGCCUGCGGCCCAUCAGCUAGUUGGUAGGGUAACGGCCUACCAAGGCACAGACGGGUAGGGGGUGUGAGAGCACGGCCCCCCACAAUGGGACUGAGAGACGGCCCAUACUCCUACGGGAGGCAGCAGCAGGGAAUAUUGCGCAAUGGACGAAAGUCUGACGCAGCGACGCC
rnacentral:rRNA from 1 species